rnacentral:lncRNA from 1 species
AUCCCCUGAGUGUGGGCAUGAGCCUUUGUCUGCCUGUAGAGAGCCCAGAACUGUACCAGACACAAAUAUUAAUAGAUGCUUGGGGAGUACUUCUAAUUGAGGGUGAAUUUUAAAAUGAACUAAGCAAAAAAAAAAAAAAAAAAAGAAGCAAGCAAACGGCGUUUAUUGAACACGUGCUACAUGCAGUUCCACAGAUGAUAAAGUAGGGAGAGGAACUGGGAGUGCUGCUGUAGGAAAUUUGGGAGUCAGUUUAUCUACCCAUCCAGCCGUCCAUUCAUGAGUGCCUACUGCAUGCCGAGCUCUGUACUGGGGGCUGGAGAUGCGGACCAGCAUCGGCUCUAGGAAGCCUCCGGCCAGGAGAGGGGAGAGACAAGGGACAGCUGCUGUUUAAUUAAAGAGGACUGAAGAUAGAACCAGAAAGCUCGAUUGUCUAGAGAGACUGCAGCCACAAGACAAGAAAAAAAAAGAAGAAGGCGAGAGAAGAAAAUGCAUGCGUGAGCAGCCAGGCAAGAAGACGUGAGCUGUGCGUGGUUCAUCUCCUUUGGGCGACACCCAGCAAGGAGUCCUUGGCCACCUGCCCCUGCGUUUCUAGUCAUAAGGCCCUCACCAUCCCCUCUAAGAGAAAUGUCUCUAAUAAGGACCAUCAGUGUAACACAGGAAACUAUAUUCAGUAUCUUGCAAUAACCUAUAAUGGAAAAGAAUCGGAAAAGGAAUAUAUACAUGUAUAACUGAAUCGCUUUGCUGUAUACCUGAAAUUAACACAACGUUGUAAGUCAAUUAACU